UUGUGAGCUGCGGAGAACAUCGCUGGAACAUUUUCUCCGAUUUCAAACACAAAAAUGCCUUCAACAUCGUGGAAAUUAAUUCACAACUGCUACAGCAGAAGACGUUAUGUUCCAAGAGCCUGGCCUCUGAAGUGUGAAGGCGAGAAUGGUUGGCGCGAAUCUCCACAAUGACGAGGUGGUACUGUCCAGUUUCAACAGGAAGGAAUACGCAGAAAAUGUGUAACCAAGCUUCCAGACUUAGAGUCAUGGACCAACUAUUGCCUUUCCGCGAGUGACCCCCGGCAUCCUCCCAUCGAUUGUGCAAGCCACCUGUCCUACUCCAACCCACGUGACAAGACCUGCAUGGAAACGAAAAAUAACUCUGGACCAAGUACUCAUUUAUAUAUCCGGAUGAGUAGGCCUAACAGUUUAAAAUGCCCUUGGAUAGAGUGUUCCGGGGACGAAUGUCUACAUCCAAUGUUUUUGAUCUUCGAGGCACUGAAGGUCUUAAGUCUCAGUAAAACAGGUACUCAAACCGAAACUGACCAAAAGUGAAGGACACUUUUCCAGGUGACAUUUCAAACUGCUACACUGGUAUACGAAUCGUACCAAGCAGGCGCGCCACCUGUUUCCACACACAGUGCUUCAGAGAGCUUCUUGUUGGAAAUACAGUUGUGUAUUUGAAUUCAUCAAAAGAUCGA